AUCCAACUGAAGAGUCCCAAAUGGGACGAAAUGCGAGUUCUAGAU
rnacentral:hammerhead_ribozyme from 1 species